AGUUCGGAUCGCAGUCUGCAACUCGACUGCGUGAAGGUGGAGUCGCUAGUAAUCGCGGAUCAGCAACGCCGCGGUGAAUGCGUUCCCGGCCUUGUACACACCGCCCGUCAAGUCAUGAAAGUGGGCAGCACCCGAAGACGGUGGCCUAACCCUUGUGGGGGGAGCCGUCUAAGGCGAGGCUCGUGAUUGGGACUAAGUCGUAACAAGGUACC
rnacentral:rRNA from 1 species